rnacentral:rRNA from 1 species
UACGUAGGGCGCAAGCGUGUCCGGAAUUAUUGGGCGUAAAGAGCUCGUAGGCGGUUUGUCGCGUCUGCUGUGAAAACCUAAGGCUCAACCUUGGGCUUGCAGUGGGUACGGGCAGACUAGAGUGCGGUAGGGGUGACUGGAAUUCCUGGUGUAGCGGUGGAAUGCGCAGAUAUCAGGAGGAACACCGAUGGCGAAGGCAGGUCUCUGGGCAUUAACUGACGCUGAGGAGCG